UACGUAGGGUGCAAGCGUUUAUCCGGAAUUAUUGGGCGUAAAGAGCUCGUAGGCGGCUUGUCGCGUCGUUCGUGAAAACCUGCAGCUCAACUGCAGGCUUGCGGUCGAUACGGGCAGGCUAGAGUUCGGUAGGGGAGACUGGAAUUCCUGGUGUAGCGGUGAAAUGCGCAGAUAUCAGGAGGAACACCGGUGGCGAAGGCGGGUCUCUGGGCCGAUACUGACGCUGAGGAGCGAAAGCGUGGGGAGCGAACAGG
rnacentral:rRNA from 1 species